rnacentral:rRNA from 1 species
UACGUAGGGUGCAAGCGUUAAUCGGAAUUACUGGGCGUAAAGCGUGCGCAGGCGGUUUUGUAAGACAGGUGUGAAAUCCCCGGGCUUAACCUGGGAACUGCAUUUGUGACUGCAAGGCUGGAGUGCGGCAGAGGGGGAUGGAAUUCCGCGUGUAGCAGUGAAAUGCGUAGAUAUGCGGAGGAACACCGAUGGAGAAGGCAAUCCCCUGGGCCUGCACUGACGCUCAUGCACGAAAGCGUGGGGAGCAAACAGG